rnacentral:lncRNA from 1 species
GUGGCUGGUUACUGGGACAAUGGUGCUGUUUCCUGGACCAAAAGCCGCCCUGAGUCCCCGGCGGGGCUGGCCCGGGGUCCUCUCCUCCCACCGUGACUGGUGGGAAGUUGCAGACUGGGGCCAGUCGGUGUCACAGGGUCCCCAAGGCCCCCUCCACAGGCUUGGCUCUUUUCACACAGGACAGGCCCAGGAGACAGGAGGGAAACCGAGGCAUGGGAGCGCAUCCUGUCGUGUCUGCAGUGCUGGAGAGGACGUCACUGUGAGCAGCUCCAAGCGCCAGAGCCUCCGAGGCUCCGGCAGAGCCAGGCUGGUGGUGAGGGCUACAGACCGCCGGCCCAGACUUCAGGAACACACCAUCCCUCUGGGCUGAGACUGCAGGUCUGUGAUCCGGGCAUUCGCAGAGACUGAGAGCAGCGUCCCCACUCUGUCCUGGCCAUCAGCAGCAUCUCAGCCUUCAUGUGUACGGUGUCCCCAGAGUCUGCAGAGACGUCCCUGUGUAUCCGGACACUGGGCAUCAGUCCACAUAACCCAGGCCAGCCUCGAUCUCCCCGGGAUCUUCCUGCCUCAGCCUCCCGAGUGCUACAAUCACAGGCACCACUACGCUGGGCUCCUUUUUCACUGGCUUAUUUUAUAUUAAGAAGGACUGUGAGAAUCUCUCUAGGCGGAUAGUUUCAGUUCUUCUACAGGAGAUGCAGGUGACCCCUGACCUGCAGAGCACCCCCGGGGCCAGGCCAUCAGGGGGACUCCAGAGGGGCCCAAGGCCGCCGCUGACCAGGGCAGACCCAAGUGGGCGUGGUGAAGUCAGCAGUGUGGAUGCUGCCUGGGCUCUGUGUCCCCAGAGGCGCUGAGGGAGCCCUGCAGCCCAGCUCCAUGCCAGCUGGACCCUGGGGCUCCACUGGGCCGGAUGCCACCUGGGCUGGUGGCCCACUGGCCACCUUCCUGAGCCGGGUGCCUCCCCAGCAGCAGAGCUGCCAGCUGGCUCUCUCCGUUCCUCCCCAGGUGAGCUGCUGGAGCAGCCUGUGAGGCCCCUCGCUGAGGCUGUGCACACUGAGACCAGGUCAGCCUGAAGGUUUUACUGAUUUUAUUUUUUAUUCUGAUAUUUUUGCAGUGCUGGGGAUUGAACCCAGGCCCUCUGGCCUGCCCUGCAUCCCCAGCCCUUUCUUUUAAAACAGGGUGCUGCUCAGGCUGGCCUCGAACUUUCAGUCCUCCUGCCUCAGCCUCCCAAGUAGCUGGGAUCACAGGUGUGGCCCCCCCGCCCCAUCUCCCCCCCGGACAUUUUCGGGGGUCACUGGGCUGCUGUGGGAGGCAAGGCUGACUGAGGGCUGAGGGGACCCACCCGGGAUCCCCCAGGGAAGCAGCCUGCGGUGCUGGGUGCCACUCGUGGUGGUGCAGCCCCAGGCGUCUGGGGCAGGACUCAACUCCACACCCAGGGGUCUCUGCUCUGGCUCUCACCGAGGUGCCUGCCCCAGGGCAUCGUGGGAGGGACGGGGUUAAGCAGGGCACACGCC